rnacentral:rRNA from 1 species
GAUGAACGCUGGCGGCGUGCCUAAUACAUGCAAGUCGAGCGAAUCCCUUCGGGGGUUAGCGGCGGACGGGUGAGUAACACGUAGGUAACCUGCCUGUAAGACUGGGAUAACCUCGGGAAACCGAAGCUAAUACCGGAUAAUUUCUUUCAUUGCAUGAUGAAAGAUGGAAAGACGGCGUAAGCUGUCACUUACAGAUGGACCUGCGGCGCAUUAGCUAGUUGGUGAGGUAACGGCUCACCAAGGCGACGAUGCGUAGCCGACCUGAGAGGGUGAUCGGCCAGAAUGGGGCUGAGACACGGCCCAGGCUCCUACGGGAGGGAGCAGUAGGGAAUCUUCGGCAAUGGGCGAAAGCCUGACCGAGCAACGCCGCGUGAGCGAUGAAGGCCUUCGGGUCGUAAAGCUCUGUUGUUAGGGAAGAACAAGUACGAGAGUAACUGCUCGUAUGAUGACGGUACCUAACGAGAAAGCCACGGCUAACUACGUGCCAGCCGCCGCGGUAA